rnacentral:rRNA from 1 species
AGUGAACGCUGGCGGUAGGCCUAACACAUGCAAGUCGAACGGUAGCACGGUAAGAGCUUGCUCUUACGGGUGGCGAGUGGCGGACGGGUGAGGAAUACAUCGGAAUCUACUUUUUCGUGGGGGAUAACGUAGGGAAACUUACGCUAAUACCGCAUACGACCUACGGGUGAAAGCAGGGGAUCUUCGGACCUUGCGCGAUUGAAUGAGCCGAUGUCGGAUUAGCUAGUUGGCGGGGUAAAGGCCCACCAAGGCGACGAUCCGUAGCUGGUCUGAGAGGAUGAUCAGCCACACUGGAACUGAGACACGGUCCAGACUCCUACGGGAGGCAGCAGUGGGGAAUAUUGGACAAUGGGCGCAAGCCUGAUCCAGCCAUACCGCGUGGGUGAAGAAGGCCUUCGGGUUGUAAAGCCCUUUUGUUGGGAAAGAAAAGCAGCAGGUUAAUACCCCGCUGUUCUGACGGUACCCAAAGAAUAAGCACCGGCUAACUUCGUG